AAGUGCUGUGGAUACUUCUUAAGACUUGGACAUUGGUAGCGAUGUUAUCCAGGUGCAGAGCAGUUGUGUGACAUCUGCAAGAUCUCAUUGCAUUUGGGCUUGGUUUAGGUUUUUAGAUUUUUUUAUUAACUUCUAUUGCUUAACUUAUUUAAAUGCUAGCCCAAAGCCAUGUAGGUAUGAAGUUUUUAUAGACCUAUCUGAAAUAUAGAUGUUGUAUACUACAUGCUGACCAUUACAUGGGAAAAAUAGUAAGGCCUUUCUAGCUUUCUGUUCUACACUUUCUUGCAAUCUUUAUCUGCAGCCUGUGUUACUGCUUGUGUGGCUGUUAUGGUUGGUUUUUCCAUUAUUUUCUUCUUCCUGGGGACCCACAGAGAGACCUUCCUUCUCAAGUGAAAUGCAAUGUUUAAUUCUAUUAUCUGCUUCAGCUCUGACCACAGAUCAUUAUUGUUCAAGAUCAUUUGCUCACUACUGCUGGUAUCUAAAAAUACCUCUACUUAUUCUUGUCCUCCUCUUCUGGAGUCUCUCCAAUAUCCAACACUGUUUCCUAGAAAUGUCUGGUUCCAUUUGGACCUUCAUGAAUGCUAAUACAGAACAUGUAAGCCCUAUUUUUGCAUCCAAGCUAGACAUUUGCUUUUUUUUUUUUUUCCACAGCCCUAUGAUGAUAUUGUUUCAUUCUCAGUUUGUGAGCAACUGUAAUUGAAAUUGUCUUGCAUUUUAGUCAUGUCUUUUAAGAUGUUGGUGUCCUUUGCUUGUUCAAUUUCAUCUUCAAAUCUAAGUAUGUUGCUAUUCUACUACCCAACUUGCUAUUGAAAGCGCUCAAUAUUGAUAUGACCCAAAUCUGUAACUCCCACUUGUUUCUUUCAUCCUUCAAAAGCUAUUUGUGCCUGGCGGUGAUCGCUAACUACUCUUUAAGGACUACUUUUCAGUCAGUUCCCAUGCGUUCAUUUGAACUUUGUUUCCUUGACUUGCUCCUAAAAGAUCACAGCACCUUAUUAAAGCUAAGUCCACCUUGUUUGCUUCCCCUGAUCAAAAUCAACCAUGACUCCAGGACAUUACCACUAAUCUUCCAGACUUCUGUUAAUCACAGAAUCACAGAAUCACAGAAUUUCUAGGUUGGAAGAAACCUCAAGAUCAUCAAGUCCAACCUCUGACCUAACACUAACAGUCCCCACUAAACCAUAUCCCUA
rnacentral:lncRNA from 1 species